UAAAACGUGUAAGGAUAACGUUGCGUCAGCAACGGCCCGUAGGGCGAGGCGAAGCCGAGUCAUCCUGCACGACCCACCG
rnacentral:sRNA from 1 species